GCCCGGCUAGCUCAAUCGGUAGAGCGUGAGACUCUUAUUCAAGAGAUCACCAAUCUCAAGGUUGUGGGUUCGACCCCCACGUCGGGCU